UAGCUACAGGCUUAACACAUGCAAGUCGAGGGGCAGCAUGGUCUUAGCUUGCUAAGGCCGAUGGCGACCGGCGCACGGGUGAGUAACACGUAUCCAACCUGCCGUCUACUCUUGGACAGCCUUCUGAAAGGAAGAUUAAUACAAGAUGGCAUCAUGAGUCCGCAUGUUCACAUGAUUAAAGGUAUUCCGGUAGACGAUGGGGAUGCGUUCCAUUAGAUAGUAGGCGGGGUAACGGCCCACCUAGUCUUCGAUGGAUAGGGGUUCUGAGAGGAAGGUCCCCCACAUUGGAACUGAGACACGGUCCAAACUCCUACGGGAGGCAGCAGUGAGGAAUAUUGGUCAAUGGGCGAGAGCCUGAACCAGCCAAGUAGCGUGAAGGAUGACUGCCCUAUGGGUUGUAAACUUCUUUUAUAAAGGAAUAAAGUCGGGUAUGGAUACCCGUUUGCAUGUACUUUAUGAAUAAGGAUCGGCUAACUCCGUGCCAGCAGCCGCGGUAAUACGGAGGAUCCGAGCGUUAUCCGGAUUUAUUGGGUUUAAAGGGAGCGUAGAUGGAUGUUUAAGUCAGUUGUGAAAGUUUGCGGCUCAACCGUAAAAUUGCAGUUGAUACUGGAUAUCUUGAGUGCAGUUGAGGCAGGCGGAAUUCGUGGUGUAGCGGUGAAAUGCUUAGAUAUCACGAAGAACUCCGAUUGCGAAGGCAGCCUGCUAAGCUGCAACUGACAUUGAGGCUCGAAAGUGUGGGUAUCAAACAGGAUUAGAUACCCUGGUAGUCCACACGGUAAACGAUGAAUACUCGCUGUUUGCGAUAUACUGCAAGCGGCCAAGCGAAAGCGUUAAGUAUUCCACCUGGGGAGUACGCCGGCAACGGUGAAACUCAAAGGAAUUGACGGGGGCCCGCACAAGCGGAGGAACAUGUGGUUUAAUUCGAUGAUACGCGAGGAACCUUACCCGGGCUUAAAUUGCAGAUGAAUUACGGUGAAAGCCGUAAGCCGCAAGGCAUCUGUGAAGGUGCUGCAUGGUUGUCGUCAGCUCGUGCCGUGAGGUGUCGGCUUAAGUGCCAUAACGAGCGCAACCCUUGUUGUCAGUUACUAACAGGUUCCGCUGAGGACUCUGACAAGACUGCCAUCGUAAGAUGUGAGGAAGGUGGGGAUGACGUCAAAUCAGCACGGCCCUUACGUCCGGGGCUACACACGUGUUACAAUGGGGGGUACAGAGGGCCGCUACCACGCGAGUGGAUGCCAAUCCCCAAAACCUCUCUCAGUUCGGACUGGAGUCUGCAACCCGACUCCACGAAGCUGGAUUCGCUAGUAAUCGCGCAUCAGCCACGGCGCGGUGAAUACGUUCCCGGGCCUUGUACACACCGCCCGUCAAGCCAUGGGAGCCGGGGGUACCUGAAGUGCGUAACCGCGAGGAGCGCCCUAGGGUAAAACUGGUGACUGGGGCUAAAUC
rnacentral:rRNA from 1 species